CUGGCCGGCGUGCCUAAUAAUGCAAGUCGAGCGGACAGAUGGGAGCUUGCUCCCUGAUGUUAGCGGCGGACGGGUGAGUAACACGUGGGUAACCUGCCUGUAAGACUGGGAUAACUCCGGGAAACCGGGGCUAAUACCGGAUGGUUGUUUGAACCGCAUGGUUCAGACAUAAAAGGUGGCUUCGGCUACCACUUACAGAUGGACCCGCGGCGCAUUAGCUAGUUGGUGAGGUAACGGCUCACCAAGGCGACGAUGCGUAGCCGACCUGAGAGGGUGAUCGGCCACACUGGGACUGAGACACGGCCCAGACUCCUACGGGAGGCAGCAGUAGGGAAUCUUCCGCAAUGGACGAAAGUCUGACGGA
rnacentral:rRNA from 1 species